AAUUUUUUACAUUUCGUCUAGUUUGAUAUAUUUUUUCCCUUUCUUCCUUCUUUUCUUCACAACUUUUUUUAUUCUUCAUUCUUCAAGUUUCUCUUAAGAGCCGAGAGUGUAGAGCAGCAGGGAGAACUUGGAGCAUGGAGUGGGAAGUUGGAGUCCGAGUGUGGAGCAAAACAGACAUUUUCACAAGUUCUCCGAUCAAAGUUGAAGCAAAGCAGGACCAUAAAUUUGGGAGCUAGAGCAUGGAGCAUUAUCGAGAAGCAAAAGCUAAGAAAUGCCCUUUUCACAUGCUUUGAGUUCAUAUCGGUACUUUUGGCUGCCACUUUUCAUUCAAUUUUAUAAAGGAACCCAUUUUUCAUUAAAACCCCUAAACAGGGUCAUUUAUCUGCCGAACCCAAUCAAACCAUGACCAUGGAAAAUUAUCAUAUAUACUCAGUUUCAAAAUAGAAAUGUGUUAUAAUAUUUUUAGUAUAGUGAUAAGUAAUAUGACGAGAUACAUGAGAAGAUCAUUUAUAAAUAGUUUUAUUUAUGUAUUCGUGCAAUUUAUAUAAAUGACCAAUGUUCAAUUAGCAUGAAAAAAAAUAGAGAAUAUAGAAAGGGCAAUUAUUUGAAAUAGCAGCUAAAAAUAUUUACUAGCAAUAUUUACAAAUAUAGCAUCAUUUUUAAAUUAAUGAAGCCAUAUUCAUUUAGUUGCAACUAUUCAGUUUUAAUUGUAAUAUAAAAUAUAUAUUCAGUUUUAAAUAGCAAAAAAUUGUGAUUUCCAUUUUACUUUUGAACGAUGUCUUUCGCAAACAAUUCCAACGAGAAUAUUAUUUCUAUUAAUUGACAUAUAAAUAAACCUAUUGUCAAUAUCAAACAAUUCCUGGAACAAAAUAGAUAAAAUAAAUAUGAGCAAGAAUAUCAACUAUUACAACACGGGGAAAAAGAGUUAAAAAGCGAGAGAACUCCUUCCCAAGGGCAAAAGAAAAAACACAAUAUUCGUACAAAACUGAGAGAAUGAGCAAAUUCUAAACAUCAUUUAAAACAGUGGCAGGCAAUCAUAAUUUACACCGAGGAGGAUGGUAUCUUGUACUGUUUCUUGAGAAAUUGGGAGGCUUCAGAAUCACUCCUGUGACACAGUAUUCUCAACAAAGUUUUUGAAUCUGCUCCUGCU
rnacentral:lncRNA from 1 species